CGCGGCCUAUCAGCUUGUUGGCGGGGUAACGGCCCACCAAGGCAACGACGGGUAGCUGGUUUGAGAGAACGAUCAGCCACACUGGAACUGAGACACGGUUCAGACUUCUACGGAAGGCAGCAGUAGGGAAUCUUGCGCAAUGGGCGAAAGCCUGACGCAGCGACGCCGCGUGCGGGAUGACGGCCCUAGUGGUUGUAAACCGCUUUCAGCAGGGACGAAAAUGACGGUACCUGCAGAAGAAGUCCCGGCUAACUACGUGCCAGCAGCCGCGGUAAUACGUAGGGGACAAGCGUUGUCCGGAUUCAUUGGGCGUAAAGAGCUCGUAGGCGGUUCAGUAAGUUGGGUGUGAAAGCUCCGGGCUCAACCCGGAGAGGCCACUCAAUACUGCUGUGACUAGAGUCCAGUAGAGGAGCGUGGAACUCCUGGUGUAGCGGUGAAAUGCGCAGAUAUCAGGAAGAACACCGGCAGCGAAGGCGGCGCUCUGGGCUGGUACUGACGCUGAGGAGCGAAAGCAUGGGUAGCAAACAGGAUUAGAUACCCUGGUAGUCCAUGCCGUAAACGUUGGGCACUAGGUGUGGGGAGGAAUCAACCCUCUCCGUGCCGUAGCUAACGCAUUAAGUGCCCCGCCUGGGGAGUACGG
rnacentral:rRNA from 1 species